GGACAAUCCCACGAGCAAGAGGGGCAGCUGUGUUGUACUUUAUCUCUCCCGUGAGGGCUACCACAGGGCGGCCAGCCAGGCUGCAUGGGGCCAGCCAGCCUGUAUGGACCCAGGGUCGCGGCGUGGGUCACCCGGGAGGCUGCAUCCGGAGUCCGCGGGGCCCGGAGCCAGAGAGAGAAGGGAGGUUCCUCGGUCAAAAGAGACAUCCAGAGUCCAUUUCCAGCUACUGGAACAAUAACCAAGAUAUGAACACUGAAACAAUGCCCCAGGGUGUGUUAAACCCCAGGAACAACUAUGGGGAUGGUACCAACAAGAACGUGAUCAGAAAGGAAUGCUGGACACCAGAUGGAAACCAAGGUCACUAGAUCAGAGGCUGACUUUGCUAUUCUCACACCCAGGACCACGAACUGGAGAUGUGAUGGGGAAGAUUGGAUAAAUACUUCUUCAGUAAGAAAAAGAGUCAACUUCUUGGUUCUCUUUCAAGCUGUUAUGGAAGAUCUUUUCUUCACGGGCAACAUGAAAAUGAAAAGAUAUGUCAUGCUGUGGAUCAUCUUCCUUCCAAAGGACCAGCUUCCUACCGUGGAGACCUAUGGAGCUCCUGGAAUAGCCGCCAAGUCCUUCAGCAUCCCCCUGGAAGCACUGGAAGUAAAUUAAGACUCCUGAGUUCUAGCUGAAGACAUAGCUACCCAGCUGACAUCUCCAUUUCCAGAGGCAGCCAGGCGUGUCUGUCCACAUGGAAAGGACACGGGCUUCCCAGGUGCCGCUAGUGGUAAAGAG
rnacentral:lncRNA from 1 species